GAGGAGCUGUCCUUAGUACGAGAGGACCGGGAUGGACAUACCUCUGGUGUACCAGUUGUCGUGCCAACGGCAUAGCUGGGUAGCUAUGUGUGGACGGGAUAAGUGCUGAAAGCAUCUAAGCAUGAAGCCCCCCUCAAGAUGAGAUUUCCCAACUUCGGUUAUAAGAUCCCUCAAAGAUGAUGAGGUUAAUAGGUUCGAGGUGGAAGCAUGGUGACAUGUGGAGCUGACGAAUACUAAUCGAUCGAAGACUUAAUCAA
rnacentral:rRNA from 1 species